CAUCAUGGAAUAUCAGGACAUCAUGGAACUUUAUAUUUUAACUCUAUAAACCUUUCUGUCAUAUCCUGGAGAAUUACUUUUGUUCUAUCUAUUAACAUACUCUCUUACUGUAGAAAUGCAAACCAUUUUGCAGAAUCAGUGUGUUUUAUCUGUCUUUUAGGCAAGGGUAAGGGAACCAAAGCAUAUAACCAAACUUGAUAGCAAUUUCUGCUGCCUUUGACAAGGGACCUGCUUUUUGUGUGCACUUUCAGCAGCGGGUCAAUUAGGCACUGCAAAUACGUCAUAAGUUAUCAAAUUGCUGCCCAAGUCUGAUGCAGAAGAAUACUGGAGAUGGAGAUUAUUGACUGAACAUCUGUGUUACCUCUGAAAUGUCUGUGCUGUAGCAUGUUGAGAGCCCCUACAAUCUUGGCAAAGGAAGGUCGUGUAUUCUGGGAGCUUUCCUUGCGUAAGAUGGUAGCCAAUAAUUCUUUCUUCUACUAUAAUAAAGUAGACUGUGUCGACACUGGGUGGGGGGAGAGGGGAGCAGGGAGGAAACAUUGGAAUAUGUUUUUGAAUAUCAAUGGUUCCAUAAGUAAACUUGUAUACAGAAUUCAGAAACUGCAGAAAAACCAGCGUACAUUGUCAGAGGCUGUGUUCUUGCAAUUGAGGUAUCUCUUGGGCUUCCAGAAAGACAUAAACACAUUGUGAAUUAUCCUGCAAAGUGUGAAAUGCCAGGCAGAGGAUUCACAUAGUGAGUGGUUUCAAGAGAACACACAUAAACCAGAAGCAAGGAGGGUGUAAUGAAAAUGCCUGUAUAGAAAAUAUGACUAGAUCAGUUGGGAUUAAAUGAGUCCAGAGGGCCAUUACAGUCUCAAUGAUUCUAUAAUUCUCUGAUCAUUAUGUAAAUUGCAUGUGACUUCUUUCUUAAAAUUAGAUACAUCACAUGUGUCAGAUGUUUUAAGAUUCAGCUUCUCAUAGUGCUGUGUCUUUAGACAGUUCUAUGCCAGUACAGAUUCAUUAGUCAUCCUCUUGGGUUUUAACUUGCUCAGUGUAAUAAAAGUGUGAUAUAUAUACUUUGGUAUACUUCUUACUUCUCCUCUCUGGCACAGUUAAUAAUCUUAUAGAUAUAAUUUCCCACUAAUAAAUUUAGAUGCUGGUAAUAAGGAUUGAAUUGCCUUUUUUCUCUUUUUUUGGUCAUUGUUAAAUGCUUUAUAACUCAUGCUUAUAAAAAUUCAUUGGAUUGACACACACUGUACAAAUUGAGUGUUUUUUUUUGGUUUUGUGGGUUUUGGGUUUUUUUGUUUUGAUUUUUUUUGUUUGU